rnacentral:rRNA from 1 species
CCUACGGGUGGCAGCAGUGAGGAAUAUUGGUCAAUGGGCGAGAGCCUGAACCAGCCAAGCCGCGUGAGGGAAGAAGGUACAGCGUAUCGUAAACCUCUUUUGUCAGGGAACAAAGGCGGGGACUAGUCCCCGGUGGAGGUUACCUGAAGAAAAAGCAUCGGCUAACUCCGUGCCAGCAGCCGCGGUAAUACGGAGGAUGCGAGCGUUAUCCGGAUUUAUUGGGUUUAAAGGGUGCGCAGGCGGCCUGUUAAGUCAGCGGUAAAAGCGCGGGGCUCAACCCCGGCGAGCCGGUGAAACUGGCGGGCUGGAGUGUGAGAGAGGUACGCGGAAUGCGCGGUGUAGCGGUGAAAUGCUUAGAUAGCGCGCAGAACCCCGAUUGCGAAGGCAGCGUACCGGUGCCACACUGACGCUGAGGCACGAAAGCGUGGGUAUCGAACAGGAUUAGAUACCCUGGUAGUC